AGUGCAACUACUAGAUCAUAUGGUAAGACUGCUUAGCUUUGUAAGAAACUGCCAAACUGUCUUUCAAAGUAGCUGUACCAUUUUGCAUUUCUAUCAGCAAU
rnacentral:pre_miRNA from 1 species